rnacentral:rRNA from 1 species
AUUGAACGCUGGCGGCAGGCCUAACACAUGCAAGUCGAACGAGUGGCGGACGGGUGAGUAAUGUCUGGGAAACUGCCUGAUGGAGGGGGAUAACUACUGGAAACGGUAGCUAAUACCGCAUACCAUCGGAUGUGCCCAGAUGGGAAUAGCGAGGAGGUGGGGUAAAGGCUCACCUAGGCGACGAUCCCUAGCUGGUCUGAGAGGAUGACCGGCCACACUGGAACUGGGACACGGUCCUGACUCCUACGGGAGGCAGCAGUGUGGAAUAUUGCACAAUGGGCGCAAUCCUUAUGCAGCCAUGCGGCGUGUAUGAAGAAGGCCUUCGGGUUGUAAAGUACUUUCAGCGGGGAGGCGUUACCCGCAGAAGAAGCACCGGCUAACUCCGUGCCAGCAGCCGCGGUAAUAC